rnacentral:rRNA from 1 species
AUGAGGGUUCACCAUUUGCAUGCGCCGUCCUACCUGGAGAAAGCGGCCUCGGCGUCUUCGUCUCCGGCUACUGCACCGUCCACGUCUCCUCCCUCGGCCCUGUUCCCUUUCGGCGCCUUCCAAUGCCUCCGGCCGCUGGCGCCCAAGAUCUCCCUCCCGGACCAGCCGAAGAAGCUCGUCGCGCCGCCCGACGUCCUCGGCCGCGUCAGGAACGCCACCAAGCUGCUCAGCUGCACCGUCAGAAACCAUACAGUGCAAGUGCAAGUGCCGGUGGGAGGGACGACGCGGUGGAACCCGUCGGCGGAGCAGAUCAAGGUGCUGGAGGCGCUGUACCGCGGCGGGAUGCGCACCCCGAACUCGGCCCAGAUCGAGCGCAUCACGGAGGAGCUCGGCCGGCACGGCCGGAUCGAAGGCAAGAACGUCUUCUACUGGUUCCAGAACCACAAGGCACGGGAGCGGCAGAAGCAGAAGCGCGCCGCCCUCCUCACCCUCAGCACCCUCGACUCUUCCUCCCUGCCUGCAACGGCGACCAAGGAUGGAGCCGGUGAUAAGAAGGAAGAUUGCGAUGAGGCGACGAACAGCUGCAAACGGCGGUGCAUGACAUGGAGUGCCGGCCAUGGCGACGCGGCGGCGGAGGUGGCCGCCCCCGACGGCUGCACGGAUAACGUCACCCUGGAGCUCUUCCCGUUGCGUCCACAGGGGAAAGCUGCGUAG